UACGGAGGGUGCAAGCGUUAUCCGGAUUUACUGGGUUUAAAGGGUGCGCAGGCGGAUAUGUAAGUCAGUGGUGAAAUCUCCGGGCUUAACCCGGAAACUGCCGUUGAUACUAUAUAUCUUGAAUGCUGUGGAGGUAAGCAGAAUAUGUCAUGUAGCGGUGAAAUGCUUAGAGAUGACAUAGAACACCUAUUGCGAAGGCAGCUUACUACACGGAGAUUGACGCUCAUGCACGAAAGCGUGGGGAUCAAACAGG
rnacentral:rRNA from 1 species